rnacentral:rRNA from 1 species
GACGAACGCUGGCGGCGUGCCUAAUACAUGCAAGUUGAGCGCUGAAGGUUGGUACUUGUACCAACUGGAUGAGCAGCGAACGGGUGAGUAACGCGUGGGGAAUCUGCCUUUGAGCGGGGGACAACAUUUGGAAACGAAUGCUAAUACCGCAUAAAAACUUUAAACACAAGUUUUAAGUUUGAAAGAUGCAAUUGCAUCACUCAAAGAUGAUCCCGCGUUGUAUUAGCUAGUUGGUGAGGUAAAGGCUCACCAAGGCGAUGAUACAUAGCCGACCUGAGAGGGUGAUCGGCCACAUUGGACUGAGACACGGCCCAAACUCCUACGGGAGGCAGCAGUAGGGAAUCUUCGGCAAUGGACGAAAGUCUGACCGAGCAACGCCGCGUGAGUGAAGAAGGUUGUCGGAUCGUAAAACUCUGUUGGUAGAGAAGAACGUUGGUGAGAGUGGAAAGCUCAUCAAGUGACGGUAACUACCCAGAAAGGGACGGCUAACUACGUG